AAGGCAGAAACAUCAGUUUAGUCACACCUAAAUGAAUGAAUGCUUUCUGGAGUAAAGCCACAGAUAGGUGUUUAUAAUGAGACGCAGCUUAGCAAACGCAUCCUCCCACACAGUCAAAGGGUCAGGCUGUGGAAAAAACAAACCACAGUGCGGUGCACAGCAGGGAGGGAGGUACGAGGCAAAAUCUGUGCAGCCACCAUGUUCAACGCUCACUUGUCUCCAGGGCAACGUAGAGAGGAGCCUAAAUAAAAGCAGCUCUUUUCAAGUAUUUGAACAGAGUAAGUGAACUAUUAUAGUCGGCUUUGAGUCAAACAAACAAACACAAAAGUGUUACGUAACAGAAUGAGUGAGGCGUAAUGCAGUAAUUAGAGAAGGAGCUCUGCCUCUAUUCAGAAAACUUACGGCGGUUACAAUAGAACAAUCUGACCCGACCUUUUCCUGCGGUCACAGACUUCGCUGUGAAGCCACUUUGCAGGCUAAAAGCUGGGAUUGUUCGGUUAACGGCACCUUUCAGCAGCAAUAAAUUCAGCUGUGCUCACUGCCUUUGUUAAGUGACUUAUUACGUGGAACCUGGAACUCAUCUCAGAACAUCUCCACUUGCUGGGAAUCGGCCGUGAGUGCAGUCAGACAUAUUUAUCAUAGUUUUUAUGACUGUAAUAAGGAUCUGGGGUUUUUGUAAAAACACUCUUCCAGUCCUGCUAUGUGGGCGGCGAGACUGUCGUGAGUCAUUACUGCUGCAACAGCUUGACUUGAAUUUCCUCCCUCAAAGUAAUCCUCUCGGGCUUUAGCCAAAAUUACUGCCAGUCUAUCUGCCUGACCCCCCCACUAGAGCUGACCCCUCGCAUGAGGCGCACGCUCCACGCUGCCAUACUUCCCGGAAUCCUGCCAGAUAUGCGGGCAGGUACUGGGCCUGCGUCUUACCACAUGUGCUUCUAAUGAGAGCCCGGAGUUAGCAGAAGCACGCAGACUGCCGGUUGGGGGUCUUGCUCAACUUCCUUCUUUCAUAAUAUUUGGAGUUCCCCACCCAGAGGGUGAACUAAAAUAAACCCGGAGUGAACGGCAACACGACCAGGCUUUGGCCUUCAUCCUUCACCAGAGCACUUCUUUGAUCGCCACUUAGUCUUGACAACCAGCAGCAGGACGCCGGAGUAAAUCCCAAACAUUGCAAAAACACCCUGCAUCAGCCUUUCAGCCUGGAAAUAACUCAGAUCAGCACAUUAGGCAUUCAAAGGACGUGGCGAUAGAAAGGCUUGAAAAUGGUCACACACCAUUAGCCAAAGGUAAUGCAGGACGCACACAUGUUAUCAUUUACAGCUUAUCAACACAAAUAAUCCCUUAAUUUCAGUGUUAGUCUAGCAUCCUGCCAAAGAGAAGAACAGAUUAAGACAAGUUAUAACAGGAGCUGUUUCAUGUUCAGCUGCACAGUUUUCUCCUGUCCACUCGGUCCUUUCACAUCUGAAAUGUGCGUCUUUAUUCACCAGUUUGUGCAAAAAAACACCGAUGCACAAACAAGAGGAACUGAAGGUGUUAUUUACUGCCCCCCCCUAUGUUUGCCUGCCAUUAGGCCAUGCAUGGCUGCCUAUUUAGGUCACAGAGCGGCAGACAAAGGCAGGCUAGUCCCUCAGCUCAGCAGCCAGUCGGCCACCAUCCUCUGAGACAUCAUCCCGGUGCAGCCUGCUCCAUGAUGGAGUACCACCCUUUGAUUCACUCUGCUCUCUGGGUUUUUCCAUAUUUCCUUCACUUUUGUACAAUCUCACAUUCCAGUUUACUUAAGAGGUGCAGCUCUGCACCAAGCUGCCCGCUCACAUGUUUAAUCAAAUAAAUCCCGAGCAGAUCAGGGAGACAUGACAGGCAAAAACAUGUUUUUGUUCAUGCAGGGUAGAUUUUGAGGAUUUGAGCUUCUGUAAUGGAGAAAAAUGAAAAAACAGAAUUCAGAAAACGUGCGAUAUAACUAAUAACUGCCUCCAUGUGAGUGAUGAGCUGGGGAAUCCUUGUGAUAUCCUACAGGGAACAUUUACAUAUAUCAUUCAGAGUUCACUGAACGCUUUGUUUAUAAAAAUAACAGCAAAAAUUGAAAUUUUACGGCUGCUGACAGGAAAAUUCUGGAUUCUGAACCUGGCUUUGUGCAAUAUUCAGACGGUUUUAUAGAGAAACUUUAUGUGCACAUUUAAACACUGGACAUAAAGUUCCAGUAGCAGUCUUAAACCAAGUCAUCAGCUGGGAAGUGUCACGGUGAGAUCUACUGGUUACCGGCAGCGUCUCGUCUCAUCUGUCUCAUUUAAAUGAAAAUAUCCAGAAUAAAACUCGACUCUGACUCUAAACAGAAAGGAGCAGGCUUCCCAGUGUGGAAACUACCACUACUUACCUUAAAUCUCUUUAAUAAACACGAGCCACAGUAUAUGUUACAGGGAAAAUGAUGAUGCAAUUACAGCGCAUUAGCCAGACGUGCAUUUACUGCUUGGAUAAGGAGCUCCUGUUCAAAGAUGGGACUCAGCAGAAUUGCUCCAACAUGCUUGAACAUGGGGAGAAUAACCCCACCUAGAGCAAGUCCUACUUUCAACACUGCUCCUUUGAUCGAGACAGCCAACCCGGAGACAACGCCCCGAUUCCAUCUCCACUCCUACGUUCUGUGCUGCAGAAAAGCCCAAAUUGCAUUAAGACCUUUCACAGUAAAAUGAACUUCCUGCUUUCUGAUAAGCUGAUAUCAUUAUGACGACUCGGUAAAUAAACACUAACGGAUGGACAGAAUUGCAGCUGAACGAGCGCUCGGUCUAAAAAUAUCGACGGCAGGCAGUUCCUUCUGUCCAAACCGUCGUGCUGACAGUUCCAAAUAGAGUUUGUGCAGAAACUGCACAUUUCUUGGUUUCACUCUGUCCUCCAGCAGCAGCCUGCAGGGAUAAAUGCUGCCGCGAAACACAGAGUGGAGUACAGGUGAACUCCUCCGCGCGACCGCUUUAUUAAAAGGACAUCGAGACCACACAACCCCACAGAGCUCGAUUUGAAUGCUCGCUGACAGUCCAGAGACUCGGGGUCGUUAUCAGAGGAAGUCGGCUCUUAAUGGCGAGGCCCAGAGGAUGAAAGCGUUUAUGUGCUGCCGUCUGUCCCAGAACCAGCUUCCUCUGUGGUUUCAUGGCUUCCAUUAGCUAAUAUGGAUGCUGAGGUCCAGAAGCAGGCUGCUUUUAUUAUUUACAUCUGUUAGAUAAUGAGCACUCUGUCUCCUAACACUGGAUGUGAGGGGGGGGCUCUCACUCAGGACCGUGUGCACUCUGCCAGCAGACAAUCUGACAAUUUUACUUGUGAUUAGGGAUUUCCUUCAGUACACUUUGGUUUGUAAGUUCAGUGUUUUCAGUGAGUAACUGUGGAUGGUGUCACAGCUGCACGUUUCCAGGAGAACAUUCACAGCAGUCACUCACCAACUUUCUCCAUCUCAGUGUUUACUCCUCCUUUGAUUGGCUUGUUGUGUUAUUUGUGUCCGUGUGCGCGAUUUGUCUUCGUGGAGGUUUCGUGCCAACCUCAGUUGUUCUGUUUUCUUGCAUUCCUGCAGUUUGUUCAACGAGUUUCUGUUUUUCUUUUGGGCAUUUCAGAAAUAAAGUUCAUCGUUUGUAUGUA